GACGAACGCUGGCGGCGUGCUUAACACAUGCAAGUCGUACGGUAAGGCCCUUUCGGGGGUACACGAGUGGCGCACGGGUGCGUAACACGUGAGUAACCUGCCCACAACUUUGGGAUAACGCUAGGAAACUGGUGCUAAUACUGGAUAUGUGCUCCUGCUGCAUGGUGGGGGUUGGAAAGCUCCGGCGGUUGUGGAUGGACUCGCGGCCUAUCAGCUUGUUGGUGGGGUAGUGGCCUACCAAGGCGGCGACGGGUAGCCGGCCUGAGAGGGUGACCGGCCACAUUGGGACUGAGAUACGGCCCAGACUCCUACGGGAGGCAGCAGUGGGGAAUAUUGCACAAUGGGCGCAAGCCUGAUGCAGCAACGCCGCGGGCGGGAUGACGGCCUUCGGGUUGUAAACCGCUUUCAGCAGGGACGAAGCUUUUUGUGACGGUACCUGCAGAAGAAGCACCGGCUAACUACGUG
rnacentral:rRNA from 1 species